rnacentral:lncRNA from 1 species
UGGGGCAUGUGGUUGGUAAUAUUAUUAUUUCAAUUUUACAGGAAAGGGAACGUCACAGAAAGGUGAAGAAAUUUGCCCUAAAUCAUAAAACUUUGUAAGUGGCAGAACAAGGAUUUGAAGCUGGCAGUCUGGUUCCAGGCUGCUUUCCACCAGCGAUGGAGCGUGGGGACAGUACUGCCGCAAGUGGAUCGUGGGACUCCUCCAGUAGGUGACUGUGGCUCGAGAACUCCGCAGUGGCCUGGGCAAGCCUUUCUCAGAACUGCUCUGAAGUCUGAGGCCCAUCGUCCCCACUCCUCCACGGGUGUCACACCUGUACUGUGGUCUGAAGGAUCUCCCUGCCUUCUAUCCCCUCCUUCUUUGUCCUUCACAGGCAGUUCCCCCAAUAUGGCUCUGACUCAUGCAAUCCUGUCUUUGUGUCUGGUUCUCAGAGCACCUCCACUAACACGGUUACCCCUCACUCAGUCAGGUGCAGUGUGAGGUCCUGGGGACACUUGCUGUGAGUACCCUCAGCCAGCUCAGAGUUCUACAGAAGAGACUGUCUGACAAGUACACCUGCAGUGACAAUAUGUGAGUUCAGUGCUGUGAAGAUGUGUGAGGGAGCAUAGGAGGAGGGCAGCCAACUCAGCUGGGAUGGGAGGUAGUCAGGGAGGACUUUCCAGGAGAGGUGACCCUGUUGCUGAAACCCCUAGGAGUGAAUGGAAGGAAGUCAACAACAAUAAUACCAAACACUUAUUUAACACUUAUUUUGUGCCAAGUGCUUUACAUAUAAGAACUCAUAAAAUUUCCACAACUAUCCUAUUAUCCCCAUCUUACAGGUAGGGAAAUCAAGGCAUAAAGAAGUCGAAUGGCUUCUCACCAGC